rnacentral:rRNA from 1 species
UACGAAGGGGGCUAGCGUUGCUCGGAAUCACUGGGCGUAAAGGGUGCGUAGGCGGGUCUUUAAGUCAGGGGUGAAAUCCUGGAGCUCAACUCCAGAACUGCCUUUGAUACUGGCGAUCUUGAGUCCGGGAGAGGUGAGUGGAACUGCGAGUGUAGAGGUGAAAUUCGUAGAUAUUCGCAAGAACACCAGUGGCGAAGGCGGCUCACUGGCCCGGUACUGACGCUGAGGUGCGAAAGCGUGGGGAGCAA